UACGUAGGGUGCGAGCGUUGUCCGGAAUUAUUGGGCGUAAAGAGCUCGUAGGCGGUGUGUCACGUCGGCCGUGAAAACCUGCAGCUUAACUGUGGGCGUGCGGUCGAUACGGGCAUCACUGGAGUUCGGCAGGGGAGACUGGAAUUCCUGGUGUAGCGGUGAAAUGCGCAGAUAUCAGGAGGAACACCGGUGGCGAAGGCGGCACUCUGGGCCGGAACUGACGCUGAGGAGCGAAAGCGUGGGGAGCGAACAGG
rnacentral:rRNA from 1 species